AGUCGAACGGAUCCUUCGGGAUUAGUGGCAGACGGGUGAGUAACGCGUGGGAAGCUACCUUGUGGUAGGGGACAACAGUUGGAAACGACUGCUAAUACCCUAUGAGCCCUAUGGGGGAAAGAUUUAUCGCCAUGAGAUGUGCCCGCGUUAGAUUAGCUAGUUGGUAAGGUAAUGGCUUACCAAGGCGACGAUCUAUAGCUGGUCUGAGAGGAUGAUCAGCCACACUGGGACUGAGACACGGCCCAGACUCCUACGGGAGGCAGCAGUGGGGAAUAUUGGACAAUGGGGGCAACCCUGAUCCAGCCAUGCCGCGUGUGUGAUGACGGCCUUAGGGUUGUAAAGCACUUUCAGCAGUGAAGAUAAUGACAUUAACUGCAGAAGAAGCCCCGGCUAACUUCGUGCCAGCAGCCGCGGUAAUACGAAGGGGGCUAGCGUUGUUCGGAAUCACUGGGCGUAAAGAGUACGUAGGCGGACUGAUAAGUUAGGGGUGAAAUCCCAAGGCUCAACCUUGGAACUGCCUUUGAUACUGUCAGUCUUGAGAUCGAGAGAGGUG
rnacentral:rRNA from 1 species